rnacentral:piRNA from 1 species
UAGGAGGACUCCUGUUUCCUUCAGGGUUGG